rnacentral:rRNA from 1 species
AGUGAACGCUGGCGGCAGGCCUAAUACAUGCAAGUCGAGCGGACGCAUAGUAAGCGUUUGCCCCUAAGGGUGGCGAGUGGCGGAUGGGUGAGGAAUACAUCGGCUACUUCUAUUACGUGGGUGACUUCGUGGAGCCACAUCUGAUACCAGAUCAUAUGGUCAACCGCAUGAAGCAGGCGUGAAACGCACUUUGGGCGACACUUAGAGACGAUGCCGGAUUAGCUAGUUGGCGAGGUAAAGGCACACCAAGGCAACGAUACGUAGCUGAUCUGAGAGGAUGAUCAGCCACACUGGAACUGAGACACGGUCCAGACUCCUACGGGAGGCAGCAGUAGGGAAUAUUGCGCAAUGGGCGCAAGCCUGAUCCAGCCAUGCCGCGUGAGUGAUGAAGGCCUUCGGAUUGUAAAGCUCUUUUAUUAGGGAAGAAAAACUGCGUAUGAAUACCCCCCUGUUCUGACGGUACCCAAAGAGUAAGCACCGGCUAACUUCGUG